UGACAUUUGCGUAACAACACAUUUGUCUGAUGAAUAACAUCUUUCAGGAGUAAGAAAAGGUGCUCCUUGAAAUGCAGUGAAACCUGUACUGCUGGAUCUUCAUGGGUGUUUCUUCCCUUGUGACUUAGGCACUAUGAUCUGAUGUGUCACUUAUUUUACUCCCAGAAAGUUAUAAAUCAGCACACAUGCAGGAUAAUACCAAGAGAAAUAAACAUGUUGCAGUUGCUGGGAGUAAGUAAAAACCUCUUAAACAUUAUUACAUUUUUUUUGCUGUGAGUAAGCAUCAAUGUCAACUAAUCAAAGUUUUUGUCUACUGAGGACUGUGACAUGGGCUAUUGACUGGUGUUUUCUUUUAACAUGCUCAGAUCGUUGUUGGCCUUCUCUUCGUCAUCAUGUGCUUUUCAAAAGGACUCAAAGAGGGAAAUAAACCUCAAAAAAUACAGAUACCUGAAUCAUCUGCCAACAACAAGAUGAAGGAUCUGAGUGAAGAAGAUGUCCAUUUAUUGGCCAAGAUCCUUUCAGUUGGAUUGGUGGAUGCAGACCCAAACUAUCUCCACCAUCUUAAAGGCUACAGAGACUUGCAUGGUAGCUAAUUUCCCAGCCUACUUACAUUAAUUAAUGAGCAAACACAUCUGUUCCCGGUUAUAUUGAUAGAUUUGGGAUGACAUAAAGGCUCUUCAGCAUUGUGAUUGGAUUACCACAAGUCAAGUGCUUCUUGCCCCCCCCACCCAGAUGUUCCAUGAUUAAUGGAAAAUAUGCACUUUAUUCAGGUUAAACACAACACUGGUAAUGAAGAAGGAAUAACCUGUCACUGGUGCUUAAUAUGGAUCAUUUUGAUGACGGAUCCUGAUUGCUUAAUUUAUUGCCGAACUGUAUAAUUUGAAAUAUGUGAAUAUGUGCAGAAAAGAGCCUCUGAUUUUACUUUCAACACCUGCUUCUUUUUUAAUGAGGAAAUGCAGAAAAUGAAAAUGCAGAAAUAGGAGCACUCCCUGUAUUGUUGUUAGUGGUACUUGCUUUAUUUGGCUUGUUUUAUUCAAGUGAUUUUCAAUGUUACAUACCACUUUGUUAAACUGUAAACCUAAACUAUUUCAUUUACAUCUGAUGCAGCCUAUGUUUUAAAUCAGGAAAUGCUUAAAAUGAAAAUAUAGAGAUAGGAGCAUUGCUUAUAUUGUUGUCAGUGGUUUGCUUUAUUAGGCUUGUUUUAUUCAAGUUGUUUUUAAUGUUACAAACCACUUUGUUAAACUGUAAAUCUCUAUCAUUAUAUUAUCUCUAGGUAUGUUACACAAUUCAGCUGUUGCAGGCAGUUUUAGUACAGAUAGCAAUAAAUCCCUUUAAAGUUAGAGAAGGUCAUUUUUCCUUAACUUAGCUUAGCUUCCUUCGCUAAAUAGGCCACAAUUGAUUAUGAAAUAAUACCAGCUAGAUUUGAGCUAAAUGCAAACUAGUAGUUUACUGUUUGCUAAACAAUAGUUUAGCAUUUACCUAAAAUGCUGAACUAAUGUAACAGUAGCACAAUAAGAAUCAGAAAAGUGACUCAGUAGUGUGCAGUAUACAAUAGUAUUUACCUGAGGUUUGCUAACUUUAGCUAACAUUAUUAAGCUGCUGUCAUGGUCAUACCGGACCAACAAAGGCUGUAGCAGGCAUAACCCCUGAGCAAUGGUGCAUUUUAUUGAUAUUGAUACAUAUUUUCAUUUGUAACAGAAAGAAUGUGUUAGUUCUUUCAAAAGUUACGGUUUCGCUUCAAGGGAUUAUUCAUUUACCAUUUGUAUUUGGAAGAGAGGCUGAAUUACUUUGCUUCUGCUCUCUUUUGGUUCAUGUCCUUACCUACAGUAGACAGACAAAGAUAGAGAGAUUAGAGAAAAAUGAACAUGUCAUCCAUUGUUUGUCUCCAGUGGCAAACUUAAUGUCUCUUACUCCAGAAAUGGCUGUUGAGCUUGUCCCCUAGCGCGUAGAGCAAGGCCACCACUGACAUGUUAAAAAAGAAGAAGACCACCAGACCAACAGUGCUGAAGUGCCCUAGAAGGGGAUACACCCAAAUUCCAACUGACAAGUACACCCAUAUAAUCCUGCAGAACAUGUUUAAAGAGAGAGAAAGGGGAAGAAAAGAAACUGUCAGUAUCACUGUAUCUGUCAGAUCAUCAAGUACUGUCUUGUUUCACAGAACUAGGCUAUGUCUUGUGCAAAUAUUCACUGGCACAGUUCCAGCCAUUAACACCAAAGACACUGUUUGAUUGUAAGAUUAACAGCAUAAUAAAAAAAAUGU